CGGACCGGCGCACGGGUGAGUAACACGUAUGCAACCUGGCCGUGACAGAUGGAUAACCGGGAGAAAUCCCGCCUAAUACAGCAUGACGCCGGGAAGGGACAUCCCUUUCCGGCCAAAGGGGGCGACUCCGGUCACGGAUGGGCAUGCGGCGCAUUAGGUAGUUGGUGGGGCAACGGCCCACCAAGCCGACGAUGCGUAGGGGUUCUGAGAGGAAGGUCCCCCACAUUGGAACUGAGACACGGUCCAAACUCCUACGGAAGGCAGCAG
rnacentral:rRNA from 1 species